rnacentral:rRNA from 1 species
UACAGAGGUCCCAAGCGUUGUUCGGAUUUACUGGGCGUAAAGGGUGCGUAGGUGGCGAGGGAAGUUUGAUGUGAAAUCUCCGAGCUCAACUGGGAAAUGGCAUUGAAUACUAUCCCGCUUGAGGGUCGGAGGGGAGACUGGAAUUCUCGGUGUAGCAGUGAAAUGCGUAGAUAUCGAGAGGAACACCAGUGGCGAAGGCGAGUCUCUGGACGACUCCUGACACUGAGGCACGAAAGCUGGGGGAGCAAACAGG